UCUUGGUCAUUUAGAGGAAGUAAAGUCGUAACAAGGUUUCCGUAGGUGAACCUGCGGAAGGAUCAUUAAAGAAAUUUAAUAAUUUUGAAAAUGGAUUUGUUUGUUUUGGCAAGAGCAUGAGAGCUUUUACUGGGCAAGAAGACAAGAGAUGGAGAGUCCAGCCGGGCCUGCGCUUAAGUGCGCGGUCUUGCUAGGCUUGUAAGUUUCUUUCUUGCUAUUCCAAACGGUGAGAGAUUUCUGUGCUUUUGUUAUAGGACAAUUAAAACCGUUUCAAUACAACACACUGUGGAGUUUUCAUAUCUUUGCAACUUUUUCUUUGGGCAUUCGAGCAAUCGGGGCCCAGAGGUAACAAACACAAACAAUUUUAUCUAUUCAUUAAAUUUUUGUCAAAAACAAGAAUUUUCGUAACUGGAAAUUUUAAAAUAUUAAAAACUUUCAACAACGGAUCUCUUGGUUCUCGCAUCGAUGAAGAACGCAGCGAAAUGCGAUACGUAAUGUGAAUUGCAGAAUUCCGUGAAUCAUCGAAUCUUUGAACGCACAUUGCGCCCCUUGGUAUUCCAGGGGGCAUGCCUGUUUGAGCGUCAUUUCCUUCUCAAACAUUCUGUUUGGUAGUGAGUGAUACUCUUUGGAGUUAACUUGAAAUUGCUGGCCUUUUCAUUGGAUGUUUUUUUUCCAAAGAGAGGUUUCUCUGCGUGCUUGAGGUAUAAUGCAAGUACGGUCGUUUUAGGUUUUACCAACUGCGGCUAAUCUUUUUUUAUACUGAGCGUAUUGGAACGUUAUCGAUAAGAAGAGAGCGUCUAGGCGAACAAUGUUCUUAAAGUUUGACCUCAAAUCAGGUAGGAGUACCCGCUGAACUUAAGCAUAUCAAUAAGCGGAGGAA
rnacentral:rRNA from 1 species